rfam:Paraliobacillus sp. PM-2 genome assembly, contig: CONTIG000001
ACUCAAUGAUCAUCGACUAAUUUCGCAACAUCCGUGUUGCAACGUUGAUGUCAGCACAUCCGUGUGCA